UCUACCUCACCAGGACAACUUACCGGAGAAUUCUCCUCGACGCAGAUACAAUAGAAUAUUUUGGGUACCACAUUCAUAUCAGUUCUAGACUCAUUUUUAAUUCGGUACGCGGACUGCCUUAAAUGUUAUAACGUUACAAUGAAGAGAGGCUAAGAGAAAAAUUAUCUAAUCCCGUGACGCACAAAAACAGCAAAUGCCAGGUACACCACAACUUGUUUUGAUGAAUCAAGGUAGUGUCGAGACAGAGCAAGCAGUUGGUAUCUCCCUGCAGCCCAUCGCAGCAUCUCGUCCCAUCGUUCUGUUAAAUGAGUCAGAUUCUCAUUCAGAGCAUCUGCUGCUUCGCCUUUACUGGCAUGGAGACGAACCUCGCGUCCUUCUUUGAUCAAGGCUUCAAAAGCAGUUUGGCGAUUCCUAAAAGCUGUUUGGAACUCCUAUUAUCAAAAAAUAUAGGAGAGGAAUUUAUCAAAUGACGUUCUUUCCUGCAUGCUUUUUGUGACUUUUUGCCACUGCGUUCAGACUACAUUUAAYCCGUUUUCAUAGGUGACUAACGCCGCGCCUCUGGGGUUCGGUUGGUCGUUCCAUCAAUCAAAACAAACAAAAAACAGACAAACAAAUAAACAAAUGAACGAACAAACAAACAAACAAACAAACRAACGAACGAACGAACGAACAUAUGGUGCUUGUUGUGGUGUAAUUAUAAAGAUAGCAUGAAUAACAACGCAAGUAUAUUAGCUGAUUCGAUCAAAGAUAGUAUUCUACUAACUAUGAUUCGAUGCAGGCAGUACAGCAUCCUCUGUUUAGAGCAUCCACUGACCAUGUGGAAAAUUAAAUACAAUGCUACAGUCAAAGUGAA